GGGCCCGUGGCCAAGUGGGAAGGCACCUCGUUUGCACCGAGGAGAGCGCCGGUUCGAAUCCGGCCGGGUCCA
rnacentral:tRNA from 2 species